UACGGGGGGGCAAGCGUUGUUCGGAAUUACUGGGCGUAAAGGGCUCGUAGGUGGCCAACUAAGUCGGACGUGAAAUCCCUCAGCUUAACUGGGGAACUGCGUCCGAUACUGGAUGGCUUGAGUUUGGGAGAGGGAUGCGGAAUUCCAGGUGUAGCGGUGAAAUGACGUAGAUAUCUGGAGGAACACCGGUGGCGAAGGCGGCAUCCUGGACCGGCAUUGACGCUGAGGAGCGAAAGCAUGGG
rnacentral:rRNA from 1 species